GUUCGAUAUGAGACGCGCAAGUUCGGAUACUCGGAUACUUCCAUGUUAGAAUAACAUAAUUUCUUUAUAUCUUCCCUUUUUUUUGGUGUACAAUAAAACAACGCUAUCAAAAGUGGACAGUACAUCAUCAAUGGCUUUGUUCCUUUUGCCUUAGUCAGUAUAACCUAUUACUAUGGCAUCUCUCACUCGGAGAGAGAAGCAGAGAUGUCCCACAGCAGGUAAUCGGAGGUAUUUGACAGCAGAUGCUCCUCAAUGUAAAUCUACCAGACUCUUUUCCGAGACAGUGAGCAAUACAGUGCUACGCGAGUACUGUCAUCCAUCAGAGCGCCCAUCCCCAGAGGGUGCGGGAUCCAACACCGACUCUCACCGUGCUCUGUUUCCGAAGAUGGAGGUCCCAUCCAGGGGGACUUUGACAGGAACUUGUUACAGUUCUGGAGGUGCUGUUAGAGCCACUGGAUUUGGUACUGUUGGACCCCCCGUGGUAGGAAGCUGGAGCCUUCGUAAAUCUGACGGUAAAGUUAUUUGUGAGCAUUGCACGGCGACUGUGUCCGCGCUGAAGAGACUAGCCCUGAGCUUCGUCAUUCCUCAAUAUAGCACUUGCAAGGUAGGUUGAUCACAGCAUCACGUCCUCUGGAAAUGUGUUGUAUGCAGGAACUAGAAUUCUUAUU
rnacentral:lncRNA from 1 species